GUGGGGAAUAUUGCACAAUGGGCGCAAGCCUGAUGCAGCGACGCCGCGUGCGGGAUGACGGCCUUCGGGUUGUAAACCGCUUUUGAUCGGGAGCAAGCCUUCGGGUGAGUGUACCUUUCGAAUAAGCACCGGCUAACUACGUGCCAGCAGCCGCGGUAAUACGUAGGGUGCAAGCGUUAUCCGGAAUUAUUGGGCGUAAAGGGCUCGUAGGCGGUUCGUCGCGUCCGGUGUGAAAGUCCAUCGCUUAACGGUGGAUCUGCGCCGGGUACGGGCGGGCUGGAGUGCGGUAGGGGGGACUGGAAUUCCCGGUGUAACGGUGGAAUGUGUAGAUAUCGGGAAGAACACCAAUGGCGAAGGCAGGUCUCUGGGCCGUUACUGACGCUGAGGAGCGAAAGCGUGGGGAGCGAACAGGAUUAGAAACCCCAGUAGUCC
rnacentral:rRNA from 1 species